rnacentral:rRNA from 1 species
UAGGGAAUCUUCGGCAAUGGGGGGAACCCUGACCGAGCAACGCCGCGUGAGUGAAGAAGGUUUUCGGAUCGUAAAGCUCUGUUGUUAAGGAAGAACGAGUGUGAGAAUGGAAAGUUCAUGCUGUGACGGUACUUAACCAGAAAGGGACGGCUAACUACGUGCCAGCAGCCGCGGUAAUACGUAGGUCCCGAGCGUUGUCCGGAUUUAUUGGGCGUAAAGCGAGCGCAGGCGGUUAGAUAAGUCUGAAGUUAAAGGCAGUGGCUCAACCAUUGUAGGCUUUGGAAACUGUUUAACUUGAGUGCAGAAGGGGAGAGUGGAAUUCCGUGUGUAGCGGUGAAAUGCGUACAUAUAUGGAGGAACACCGGUGGCGAAGGCGGCUCUCUGGUCUGUAACUGACGCUGAGGCUCGAAAGCGUGGGGAGCGAACAGG